UCCGGCUUAACGCCGGCAGUCUCGCUAGAGUCCCCGGCAUGACCCGCUGGCAACUAACGAUAAGGGUUUCGCUCGUUAAGGGACUUAACCCGACACUUCACAGCACGAGCUGACGACAGCCAUGCAACACCUGUGCUAGUUUCACCCUUGCGGGCAGCCAACCGAGUUAUCCCCGGAGGGCAUCCUAGCAUGUCAAACCUGGGUAAGGUUCUUCGCGUUGCUUCGAAUUAAGCCACAUGCUCCACCGCUUGUGUGAGCCCCCGUCAAUUCCUUUGAGUUUUAGCCUUGCGGCCGUACUCCCCAGGCGGCACACUUAUCGCUUUUGUUUCGGCUCGGAAACCGUCAGAGAUACCCGAACCUAGUGUGCAUCGUUUACGGCGUGGACUAC
rnacentral:misc_RNA from 1 species